AUUUUUAAUGUCAUUUUUUUCCUACUUUCUGAAAAAGGGGCCCCCACAUUUGCAUUUUGUACUGGGUCCCACAAAUUAGCCAGUCAUGACGAUGUGUCAAAUUAGCCAAGCAUUUCCUUGACACCUCUUCCCCUGGACCUGAGAUGAAGAGGAACCCAACUCCCAUCUCUCAGUGAGACAAGGUUAUACUUGGUAAGUCCUACAUACGAGAUCUCUGGUUUUCUUUCUGGAAGCCUGAGGAAACGGCAUGUGACCUCCACCCCGGCUGUUACUGUUAAACCCAUUAUAACUUGCUGACUCACUGUUGCCCUUCUCUGAGUAGACCCCGGCCAUCCU
rnacentral:lncRNA from 1 species